AGCUUUGAGCAGUGGUAGCACCGUCGCCUCUGAGGUUUAACCGAGGCACGAUUAUUACUGAUUGAAACCAUGAGACCAAAUUCCA
ensembl:snRNA U4 U4 spliceosomal RNA